ensembl:misc_RNA Metazoa_SRP Metazoan signal recognition particle RNA
GCUGGGCGUGGUAGCACGCGCCUGUAAUCCCAGCUACUCGGGAGGCUGAGGCAGGAGAAUCGCUUGAACCCAGGAGGCGGAGGUUGCAGUGAGCCGAGAUCUCACCACUGCACUCCAGCCUGGGUGACAGAGCGAGACUCCGUCUCAA